CAAGCACCACGAAUUCCAAACACUGAAGUGUUUUCCCCUCCAGAUUAACUCUGUACCUGAGCCAUGCCUGCUCAGUAGGAAAAUCUCAGCUUUUCAGCCCCACAACCCUUGGCAAUAUAAAUCCUCCAAGAUCAUCUCGAGAUGAGUCUACAUAGCAAUCAAGCUCCUGAUUUUCAGUUCCUAGCCCAGCUAAGAGUUAAAUUUCCUUGUGAGCAAAGGUGCAGAACACCUCGAGGAGCUGUGAAAUGGGAGGCAAUCAGCUCUCACUUCCAAGGGGUAACAACUCUUUUCUGUCCUCGAAAAAAAAACAAAAUUAGAGGGGAGGAAUCAAGAAGAGAGCCAGGAAUUACAGAAGGCCACAUGAGCUGGGGAAGGAGACCCAGGAGCAGUCAGGGAGCCUCGGACACCUUUGGAAGACAGGGAGGAAUCUGCCCAUGGACAGGACAGUUUGCCAAGGAAGAGGCAAACACAACUCCAAGCAAGUGAUCAAAGACAUUUGCUCAAACAGAAGUCUUCUCCUUAUGUGCAAACACUUCUCAAAUGCAAAGUUCUCUGUCUGGUGGUACCCACACUAAUCCAGGGGGCUGCAUUGGGAAUUCUGUAAGGGAUCAGUGGGGAGAGAUAAGGAAUUAAUUUCCCUUCCAAGUCACAGUCAUAUCUCAGCAGCAGCAUCCCCUGCCCAAGCUCAGGACUUGCUCACACACAUCAGGAAUGUGUUUGGAUUCUCCUGGAGCAUUCUGCAGCUCUGAGCUGAAUGAUGGAUGCCUGAAUUUCACCCAGCCUCUGUAUUUACACGACCCCUGUGCAAAGUCAGCCCCUUCACUCACCCCACAAAACACACAGAGCUCUGCACAGAGAGAGAGAUCACCUCUCCCUCGGCAAAGAUGCAUCUCACAGGGAAAGGAAUUUCUGCCAGCUCCGCAGACCAAAACAACAUCAAUAAUUUCCUCUAUCUGCUCCAGCCAACAGGGACCAUUUCACACCAGCUCCAGCCACCCACGCAGCCACUUUACAACUUCCCCUCUCAUUCAUGCAAAAAGCAGCCCUUAACAGCCUUCCACUGAAUCGGGGCUCGCUGCUCUUGGCUGGGUUAUUUUCUUUGUGUUUCUAAGCAAUUCCUUGUUGCCAAUCAGCUUGUUUGUUCUGCGGCUAAACUUCACUUUCUCCUGCCUGCUUCAGUCCCCGUUUGAUCUCUCAGCGUGAUUUUGGGCAUCUCACUUCCAUUUCUUCCCAUCCAUUUGCAUUUUGGCUGCCUUCACUGUCACCUUCCUGACACGCUGAGCUCCUCUCCCUGCUUCUGUCUAUUGUACACAAUUUCUACAAAGAGCAGAGCAGAGGGCCAGUGUUUGUGUUGGCCUAAAAAAAAAGCAAUUCCUUCUGCAGCCACAGCCUUCACAUCCCGACAGCAAGUAAUCUGCAGCUUUCUAAAGCCCUGAGACAGAUUGCAAAACCUGAGUUUAACAAAAAAACAACAAACCCUUCCAGCAGGGAUGAGGAGGGAAGAACAGGAGGGAUGCUUUAAAAAAAGCCCAAAAUGCAGCAGUAGUCUUAAUGGUAGCACGGGGAUGAUUUAACUUCAAUUUUCUCACCCAUGACAGCGAAUGUGUUUUGAAUAUGGGACAGAGGCACAAAAGGCAGCUCUGCUGUGGACUUAUUAAUCUAUUUUGUAAGGAAGAAGCAUCUAGAAAAUAGUCCUGGAGGAAGAGAUUAGAGAGCAAAUCCCGGGCUCUUUGGGAAGCGCCGCAGUGAUCCAUUGUCUGCUGCAGCUUUAUCUGAGAAGGAUCUUGCAGAAAACUCUGCAUUGCUCACCACUGCACAUCCUGGCAAUUUCAGACACUUUUCCAAGCAGGGGCCAUCGUUAUUGUCCCAGAGAACCAUUUAUAAAUAAAGCUGAUGUUUGUAAAACCCUGACUCCCCAUACAAAGCUCCCAGCUCUGGUUUGCUCCCAUUGAACACCCCGAGACUUCCUGCUGGAUAAAACUUCUCUGUAUUGGAAAGGCACUUCCAGAAAUGUCAGUGGAAUGGGAUGGAAGAGAAAAUUCGAUUCACUGGGAGAUGCUCAGGUGGGUUUCUGGCUGUGCAAUCCCCCUUCCCUGCUGCCAAGCAUAAUUUCAGUGACUUUGCUCUCUCUGAGAAGUAGCCUAUAUACCUCUUUAUACUGUUAUUUAUUAUUAAAUAUUUUUGAACAGUGGUUUUUUCCCAAAAAUGUCCUAUAUUCUUACCCAUGACUUCAUUUUCUUUUCUCCAUUAAAAUUUAAUCCUAUUAUCAGAAAAUUACUUUUUUCUCCCCCCCCUCUACUAACUCUUGUAUGACAGACAGCCAAUUUUACUGACAUCAGAUCCUUGCAGCAAGUACUGGAUACCAAGAGGGGAAAAAAAUGACUACGAGGCAAACCAUGCAUUAUGGGAUCAAUAUGACAUGCUGUACCCAACCAUUUUUUUUUCUCCUGAAGACAAGAAAACCCUCCCAUCAAUUUUAUUCCGCAAAAGAAGAAAUCUGCCAUGAGACUGACUGAAUAAUCACAACCAUAAUUACCCUGAGCAAACAUAAUGAGGGAGACUGUGAUAAAUUAAAGGAAAUCCUCAAAAUUCUAAUGCAUUUUCAGACCAUCCAGAGUCCCAGCAGCCCUGUCACACCUGUAACCUGCCCUUCCUCCCCUCAGCUCCACGGGCUGAGAUUUGAACAUGUAAAAUUGAGUUAAAUAGAUGAGGGAUGAAAAUUGCUUUGAGUUUGGGGAAGAGGGACCCAAAUGCUCCCCCGGCCUCAUUGGGAUGAUCACCACCAGCAGCCCCUGGGUCUGAGGGAAAUGAGGUUCAGACAGAUGUUUCCUCUUUUGAAAGAGACAAAUCACUGCCUCGGCUCCCUCUCUACUUCAUGUGAACAAGGACAAAUAAAUGAUUGGCACAUGUCAGAUAAGAGCUGAGAUGAUUCAUCCUGAACACAGCAGUCAUUUUCCAAUAAUGAGAAAUACCCAGCUUCAUUUUGUGGGAAGUAAAUCUUGUUGGAAGAAAAAUGAUCCCCUAGGAACGUGUGCUCUGGACCCGCGGUACUGCUGCAGCUCACCGAGGGGUCUGAGGGGUUUGGGGGGCUGAUCCUGGGCCAGCAGGGCUGGAAGCCAGACCUGUGGCUUGCUGGCAGGUGCUGCCAUGGUGCAGAGUGACACUGGUGCCACCAAACGAAGGAUUUGAGCCUGCUUUGGGCCCGUGGCACAAAGCACAAACUCUUCUUUCGUGGUCAGUGAGGCACAGAAGGGUUUGGUGGAGCCCAGCACUAAUCCAGCACUGCCAAGCUCACCCCUAAACCAGGUCUAAUACAUUCCCACAUCCCAAACUGCCGUCCCCACUGCCUCGGGGGACACUCACUGCCCUGCCACACCCCAAAACUAAAAGGCUUCUUGGCAGGGUCUCAGUGGCUGCAUCCCCUCAUCCCCAGCUGCUGGGACAGGGCACCCAGGACCUGUUUCCAGUGCAAUCCCACAGCCCCAGGGCCUGCUCAGAGUUAAAGUUCUGGCUUUGUUUCAAGGUUCCCAGAGCUUUUCUGGCUUUGUUUAAGGAUCCCAGAGCUUUGCAAACAGCUGUUGAACACCAGCCAACCCACAGACCUUCACAAGGGCUUUCCUGGGCCCUUUAGGACCAGGGCAAAACCUGAACAGCCAAAAAGGACCCCUGUUGGGAACUCUCCAUGUGUGGAGACGCGAGGCUUGACUCCAUUUUCAGAAGGCUGAUUUAUUAUAUUAUGUUAUAUAUUAUAUUAAAAUAAUACAUUUAAACUAUACUAA